GAUUGAACGCUGGCGGCAGGCCUAACACAUGCAAGUCGAGCGGUAGCACAGAGAGCUUGCUCUCGGGUGACGAGCGGCGGACGGGUGAGUAAUGUCUGGGAAACUGCCUGAUGGAGGGGGAUAACUACUGGAAACGGUAGCUAAUACCGCAUAACGUCGCAAGACCAAAGUGGGGGACCUUCGGGCCUCAUGCCAUCAGAUGUGCCCAGAUGGGAUUAGCUAGUAGGUGGGGUAACGGCUCACCUAGGCGACGAUCCCUAGCUGGUCUGAGAGGAUGACCAGCCACACUGGAACUGAGACACGGUCCAGACUCCUACGGGAGGCAGCAGUGGGGAAUAUUGCACAAUGGGCGCAAGCCUGAUGCAGCCAUGCCGCGUGUGUGAAGAAGGCCUUCGGGUUGUAAAGCACUUUCAGCGGGGAGGAAGGCGGUGAGGUUAAUAACCUCACCGAUUGACGUUACCCGCAGAAGAAGCACCGGCUAACUCCGUGCCAGCAGCCGCGGUAAUACGGAGGGUGCAAGCGUUAAUCGGAAUUACUGGGCGUAAAGCGCACGCAGGCGGUCUGUCAAGUCGGAUGUGAAAUCCCCGGGCUCAACCUGGGAACUGCAUUCGAAACUGGCAGGCUAGAGUCUUGUAGAGGGGGGUAGAAUUCCAGGUGUAGCGGUGAAAUGCGUAGAGAUCUGGAGGAAUACCGGUGGCGAAGGCGGCCCCCUGGACAAAGACUGACGCUCAGGUGCGAAAGCGUGGGGAGCAAACAGGAUUAGAUACCCUGGUAGUCCACGCUGUAAACGGUGUCGAUUUGGAGGUUGUGCCCUUGAGGCGUGGCUUCCGGAGCUAACGCGUUAAAUCGACCGCCUGGGGAGUACGGCCGCAAGGUUAAAACUCAAAUGAAUUGACGGGGGCCCGCACAAGCGGUGGAGCAUGUGGUUUAAUUCGAUGCAACGCGAAGAACCUUACCUGGUCUUGACAUCCACAGAACUUAGCAGAGAUGCUUUGGUGCCUUCGGGAACUGUGAGACAGGUGCUGCAUGGCUGUCGUCAGCUCGUGUUGUGAAAUGUUGGGUUAAGUCCCGCAACGAGCGCAACCCUUAUCCUUUGUUGCCAGCGGUUAGGCCGGGAACUCAAAGGAGACUGCCAGUGAUAAACUGGAGGAAGGUGGGGAUGACGUCAAGUCAUCAUGGCCCUUACGACCAGGGCUACACACGUGCUACAAUGGCAUAUACAAAGAGAAGCGACCUCGCGAGAGCAAGCGGACCUCAUAAAGUAUGUCGUAGUCCGGAUUGGAGUCUGCAACUCGACUCCAUGAAGUCGGAAUCGCUAGUAAUCGUAGAUCAGAAUGCUACGGUGAAUACGUUCCCGGGCCUUGUACACACCGCCCGUCACACCAUGGGAGUGGGUUGCAAAAGAAGUAGGUAGCUUAACCUUCNGGGAGGGCGCUUACCACUUUGUGAUUCAUGACUGGGGUGAAGUCGAACAAGGUAACCAAGGGCGAA
rnacentral:rRNA from 1 species